UACGUAGGGUCCGAGCGUUGUCCGGAAUUACUGGGCGUAAAGAGCUCGUAGGUGGUUUGUCGCGUUGUUCGUGAAAACUCACAGCUCAACUGUGGGCGUGCGGGCGAUACGGGCAGACUUGAGUACUGCAGGGGAGACUGGAAUUCCUGGUGUAGCGGUGGAAUGCGCAGAUAUCAGGAGGAACACCGGUGGCGAAGGCGGGUCUCUGGGCCGAUACUGACGCUGGAGACGCGAAAGCGUUGGGGAGCGAACAGG
rnacentral:rRNA from 1 species